rnacentral:rRNA from 1 species
GCGUUAAUCGGAAUUACUGGGCGUAAAGCGCACGCAGGCGGUCUGUUAAGCUAGAUGUGAAAGCCCCGCGCUCAACGGUGGGAGGGUCAUUUAGAACUGGCAGACUAGAGUCUUGGAGAGGGGAGUGGAAUUCCAGGUGUAGCGGUGAAAUGCGUAGAGAUCUGGAGGAACAUCAAUGGCGAAGGCAACUCCCUGGCCAAAGACUGACGCUCAUGUGCGAAAGUGUGGGUAGCGAACAGGAUUAGAUACCCUGGUAGUCCACGCCGUAAACGAUGAACACUAGGUGUUGGAGGUCUCGACCCCUUCAGUGCCGACGCUAACGCAUUAAGUGUUCCGCCUGGGUAGUACGGUCGCAAGAUUAAAACUCAAAGGAAUAGACGGGGGUCCACACAAGCGGUGGAGCGUGUGGUUUAAUUCGAUGCUAAGCGAGGAACCUUACCAGGGCUUGACAUCCCGAGAAGACCGCCGAAAGGUGGUUGUGCCGUUAGGAACUCGGUGACAGGUGCUGCAUGGUU